UACAGAGGGUGCUAGCGUUGUUCGGAAUCAUUGGGCGUAAAGGGCGUGUAGGUGGCGCUGUAAGUCGGGUGUGAAAUUUCGGAGCUUAACUCCGAAACUGCAUUCGAUACUGCCGUGCUUGAGGACUGGAGAGGAGACUGGAAUUUACGGUGUAGCGGUGAAAUGCGUAGAUAUCGUAAGGAAGACCAGUGGCGAAGGCGGGUCUCUGGACAGUUCCUGACGCUGAGGCACGAAGGCCAGGGGAGCAAACGGG
rnacentral:rRNA from 1 species